GUUUCUUUAAUGUGAGGUAAAUUAGAGCUCAGUGCCACGAAUAAUAUACUAGAUUGCCUACUUACAACCAGAUGAGGAUGAUGAUGGGCUCUAGCUUCAGUCUGGCUCCACUGGUCUGGUGUAGAACAGGCUCUCUGGAGGCGUUUUGUAACUGUGGUCACAAAAAUCAAUGUUCUGGGAGAACGGGAAGCAGCUCCAUUUUUUGGGGGCCCUUUACACAGCUCAAGGUCUGGGUCCCAGGGUUCACCUUCAUGUUCCACCAAUGAGUUUGUUCACAGGGGGUGGAGUGUGUAGGGGAUGUCCUGAUAUGUGUGUAAGGAAUGCAUUGUGUGAAAUUGUGUUUGUAUGUGUAAGGGCUGCAAGGUGUGUUUCUGUGUAUGUAUGGGAUGCAUUGA